rnacentral:rRNA from 1 species
AAUGAACGCUGGCGGCAGGCCUAACACAUGCAAGUCGAACGCGUGGCGGGCGGGUGUGUAAUGCUUGGGACUCUCGCUUAUGGAGGGGGAUAACUCCGGGAACCUGUAGUUAAUACCGCUUACCAUUGGCUGAGCCCAGGUGGGAUUAGGUAGUGGGUGAGGUAAAGGCUCACCAAGCAGACGAUCUCUAGCUGGUCUGAGAGGAUGACCGGCAACACUGGGACUGAGACACGGCCCAGACUCCUACGGGAGGCAGCAGUGGGGAAUAUUGCGAAAUGGGGGAAAGCUGACGCAGCCAUGCCGCGUGAAUGAAGAAGGCCUUCGGGUUGUAAAGUUCUGUCAGUAGCGAAGCGUUAACUACAGAAGAAGCACCGGCUAACUCCGUGCCAGCAGCCGCGGUAAUAC